CUACUGGAGGGAGAGGAGAGCAGGAUUGGACAUCAAUCUAUUGUCAAUAUCCAGUCGGUGUCCAGCUACAGUUCUAAGAGCAGCUGUAACAAAUACCUCAGCAGCUUCAGCUCAACACCCAAGCUGCUGAUUAAAACGAUUGAACAACGAGGAAGCUCCAGAUUCAGCUCUCACUGAGGAGCCCUCAGAUCCUUCUGGCUUGGGAUGAAGAGUUUAUAUCACAUGUAUUGCUUCUUUUGUUUAUGUGCAUGGAGAGUAUACCGUAAGAUCAUGAUUCAAGAUCUAAUAGUUUUGAUUUUGUAGCUAGUUGUUUGUUUGGAUACAAACUUUUGUCUUUGUAUUUUCAUUACAGAAAGAACAAACUUGCA